CGCGCAGGCGGAACACAUAGUCAGACGUGAAAGCCCCGGGCUUAACCUGGGAAUUGCGUUUGAUACUUGUGAUCUAGAGUCUCGGAGAGGGUGGUGGAAUUCCCAGUGUAGAGGUGAAAUUCGUAGAUAUUGGGAAGAACACCAGUGGCGAAGGCGGCCACCUGGACGAGUACUGACGCUGAGGCGCGAAAGCGUGGGGAGCAAACAGGAUUAGAUACCCUGGUAGUCC
rnacentral:rRNA from 1 species